AACGAACGCUGGCGGCAUGCCUAACACAUGCAAGUCGAACGAGACCUUCGGGUCUAGUGGCGCACGGGUGCGUAACGCGUGGGAACCUGCCCUUAGGUUCGGAAUAACUCCCCGAAAGGGGUGCUAAUACCGGAUAAUGUCUUCGGACCAAAGAUUUAUCGCCUUUGGAUGGGCCCGCGUUGGAUUAGCUAGUUGGUAGGGUAAAAGCCUACCAAGGCGACGAUCCAUAGCUGGUCUGAGAGGAUGAGCAGCCACACUGGGACUGAGACACGGCCCAGACUCCUACGGGAGGCAGCAGUGGGUAAUAUUGGACAAUGGGCGAAAGCCUGAUCCAGCAAUGCCGCGUGAGUGAUGAAGGCCUUAGGGUUGUAAAGCUCUUUUACCCGGGAUGAUAAUGACAGUACCGGGAGAAUAAGCUCCGGCUAACUCCGUG
rnacentral:rRNA from 1 species